CCUACGGGUGGCAGCAGUAGGGAAUAUUGCGCAAUGGAGGAAACUCUGACGCAGCGACGCCGCGUAUAGGAAGAAGGUUUUCGGAUUGUAAACCAUUGUCGUUAGGGACGAUAAAAGAGUGUACCUAAGGAGGAAGCGCCGGCUCACUAUGUGCCAGCAGCCGCGGUAAUAAAUAGGGGGCAAGCGUCAGUCGGAAUUAUUGGGUGUAAAGGGUGCGUAGAGGGAAGAACAAGUUGGUUGUGAAAUCCCUUGGCUCAACUGAGGAACGUCAACCCAAACUAUCAUCAUCGAGUGUCGGAGAGGAGAGUGGAAUUCCGAGUGUAGCGGUGAAAUGCGUAGAUAUUAGGAGGAACACCAGUGGCGAAGGCGACUUUCUGGACGAUAACUGACGUUGAGGCACGAAAGUGUGGGGAGCAAACAGGAUUAGAUACCCUGGUAGUC
rnacentral:rRNA from 1 species